rnacentral:rRNA from 1 species
CGGUAACAGCUCAAAUUUAAAAUCUGGCCUUUGCGGGUCCGAGUUGUAAUUUGUAGAGGAUGUUUCGGACAAGGCGGUGGUUUAAGUUUCUUGGAACAGAACGUCACAGAGGGUGAGAGUCCCGUCUAGAACCAAUGGCCGCGUCCAGGUGAAACUCCUUCGAC